AUCGAACUCAGGACCUUGAGCUUGUGAGGCAGGCGCGAUGCCACUGAACUAAAUCUCCAGCCCGACAUUCACAAAAAUUGCUCUCGAGGUGUGUUUGAAGCUUUGUGACAACCCCGUUACUGAUGAGAAGAAAGAACAUGAAGCUGACACAGGUUAAGACACAGGAUGCCAUGAAUCUUCUGCCUAUAUACCAAAUUGGAGAGAAUUUAACUGACAACAUGUAAUAGUUCUUACUACCCUAAAACUACCAAAUUGUGAGAAAGGUUCAACUUGUCACCCAGAGGAGCUAUUUGGAGAGACAGAUACAUGCCCCGCUCCUAACUUUUCCAAUUAUCCCAGCUCUGCUCCAAACAUUUGAAUGAAGAAGUCAGCCUGGAUGUUCAAUGGAGAACAAUCUUCAAAUAAGCAUAGUCUGCACAUAGCCAUGUCAUUCCAUGAGAAUUCCCUGAUGAA